rnacentral:rRNA from 1 species
CCCUUAGAUGUUCUGGGCCGCACGCGCGCUACACUGACGAAUGCAACGAGCUUAUAACCUUGGCCGAAAGGUCUGGGUAAUCUCCAAAUUUCGUCGUGAUGGGGAUAGAUUAUUGCAAUUAUUAAUCUUCAACGAGGAAUGCCUAGUAAGCGCAAGUCAUCAGCUUGCGUUGAUUACGUCCCUGCCCUUUGUACACACCGCCCGUCGCUCCUACCGAUUGAAUGGUCCGGUGAAGCGUUCGGACCGUGGCCUUUGGACGGUCCGCCGUCUGUUGGCUGCGGGAAGUUCGUUAAACCUUAUCAUUUAGAGGAAGGAGAANUCGUANCA